rnacentral:rRNA from 1 species
GAUGAACGCUGGCGGCGUGCCUAAUACAUGCCAGUCGAGCGAACAGACGAGGAGCUUGCUCCUUUGACGUUAGCGGCGGACGGGUGAGUAACACGUAGGUAACCUACCUAUAAGACUGGGAUAACUUCGGGAAACCGGAGCUAAUACCGGAUAAUAUUUCGAACCGCAUGGUUCGAUAGUGAAAGAUGGCUUUGCUAUCACUUAUAGAUGGACCUGCGCCGUAUUAGCUAGUUGGUAAGGUAACGGCUUACCAAGGCAACGAUACGUAGCCGACCUGAGAGGGUGAUCGGCCACACUGGAGCUGAGACACGGUCCAGACUCCUACGGGAGGCAGCAGUAGGGAAUCUUCCGCAAUGGGCGAAAGCCUGACGGAGCAACGCCGCGUGAGUGAUGAAGGUCUUCGGAUCGUAAAACUCUGUUAUUAGGGAAGAACAAACGUGUAAGUAACUGUGCACGUCUUGACGGUACCUAAUCAGAAAGCCACGGCUAACUACGU